ensembl:lncRNA
UCUAAAGAAAGGAGAUCAAAAUGUUAAUAGUGAUGCUUUGGCAUGGCCAGGUGCUAGAAUAGUGGGUGAGUGUUAACAUCCUUUUACUUGACAUAAGUUUCAUACAGUGAACUUAUUCUCAGAUAAAAUAUAUAAACUUAAAAAUUAUUAGAAAUUCUAACUACGGUAGGCACUCAACUGUAAGAACAUGCACAUUCACCUACAUAUCUAUCCACAAAGAGAACUGUUUAAAACUCCACCUAAACUUCUGUGCGAUGGAGAGUUGAUUCCUUUUCUUAUUGCCUGUGUGCUUCUCAGCAAGUCAGUUAAUUUCAUUAUCCCAAUUUCAGUGACUGUGAACUAGGACAAUGCCACUAUGUUUCUGGCAUUUCUGGAAUUAUUCUGGAAUUUCUGAUGGUGUGUUAGGAGGUAUACUUUUAAUGUUGUUGGAAUGAAAUGGGACAUUCAUCAUCAAUUCAGAGGAAGAGCUGAAAAAUCCAACAGGGGGUGGGGUGAGGUGGGGUGAUAGCUCUUUGAAUCUCAGCAGCAAAAAGAAUGAGGGAAUUUUUUUAGGACACUCCAGGUGAAAUGAGAUUAGUAAAAUGUUAAUUCACUCUUUCUGGGAGUCAUUAUGUUCAAGAUUCAAAUUUUAGGGAAGUCAUCUCUCUGGUUGCUUAAAUUGGAAUAUGUACCCAAGCCUUUGCCAGAGAAGGAUAGUAUGCCUAGAGGAGCUAAUCUAUUGAGACUGCAGGAUCGAGGUGAAUCAGAGACAGGACAGUCGAAGAGGAUGGUGUGCACAAGACAAAACAGCUCUCAGACUCUGGCAGAGUUGUGAUAGGCAUUUGAUGAAAGAUACCAGCUUUUCACAUUUGUUCAAUCCAUUCUUGAGAUUUACCCAAGGGACAGUCUUGAAGCGAAUCCAUGUGUAUAUUAAGUGGUAACAGUCUGGAAAGACAGGGACAGACUUCCUUGCCAAGGAUGUUAUCACUCAAAGUUGAAUAUUGACUUAAUGACCAGAAAGGGGGAAUCAAGGAUGUGGUUCUUUCCUUCACUCUAAACAGGAAGGAUUAUACCCAUUUACUCACAUUGGUAGGAACUGUUGCCUGCUGUGCAAUCAAGAAAGGACAGUGGGGAUUUUGGUCUGAGACUUUUGUAGGUAAUAGUUUCAGAGAUAUAUAACCUAUUCAACUUCCUCUUAACACAUUUUAGCUCCUUGCUUGUCAUUGAUAUUGUCUCCGGUUUGUUGGAUUGCCCAAAGAGAAUUCUAAGGUUUCCAUGCAAAUUUCAAGCCAAAUAGUGCAAACUCAAAAGUACUGGUUUGCCAGAGCUCUGCCACUGGAGGAUGAACAUCUUCAGAGCAAGAAACUUAAAACUACCAUGAGUGGGAAAAGAUUAACGUCAAGGAAUUUUGUUACAGCUUUCUUUAUAAAGUGUUUUCUGGAAACGAGACGCUGAGAUUAGCCUGCAGAUCUACUGCAUGUUUUUAACCUAACAGUUCUGAGAAAUGAGAAGGGAACUAUACAGAAUUGGGCAGAAGGAGAAGAAGCGGGCUGUGUGUGGUACAGCCCCAGUGAGGUUCACAUCUGGAGGCCUCAGCUGGAAUGGCCCUUCCAAGUCUUCCUGAGGUUAAGUGAAGAUGGAUCAGUUUGGUGGGUAGGCUGUCCUGGAGAGGUAGCCUCACAGCCCAGAUGAUUUAAGAACAUGCUGCUGGUUUUGGCUGGCUCCUGGUAGCACUUCCAGGUGAGGAAAUAGCCAAGGACAUCUCAGUAGUUGAACCUCGGCAGUCAUUUUGGGUGAGAGUAGAAGUGUCCUUUGCUGAGAAUUUUAGUUAAAUGGAAAGGGAAGUGAUCAUAAGUACACCAAUAAAUUAUCCUAAAUACAAAAUUGAAAUAGUUAUAGAAGAAAAGUAUUGACAUCCCCAGUUCUUAGAUUGAUAAGAUUCCAAAGCAAGCAUGGAUUGUAGCCUGAGCUGUGGUUUCACCUAGGAGGUUAAUGUGAGAUAAGUACAUAAAUGAAUUUAUGACUGUGCUACCUAAGCAAAGGAAAUAGCAAAAAGGUAAAUUAUGAAACACUAUAAUCUUUCUAAUUCUGUUUUAAAUUUGCAGGGAAAAGUCUGAUGCUUGUUGGAUAAAAUGAAAUACAACUAUUUCAUUUACUAAAGUCCUUAAUUUUAGUGUAAGUGAAUGAAUAUUUUAUCUUCUUCCAAAUAACACGAGUGAGAAAAAAGCAGGUGUCGGUUUUUCAAAUAUUUGAAAACAACAGGUAAAUAGAGGCACAUCCCAUGUCUAUAUUCACCUAAUUGAUUCAUAAAAUAUGUCAUCAUUUUACACUCGGUUAGAAGAAAUAGUUCAUGCUUCUUACUGGUGACCUAUUUUUAUGCACAAAAUUCCUUCUAAUCCUGGUAAGCAGGUUUUCUAAACAAUGAUCAAAGAGUGGCACAUAGUGGAUAAUCAUUUAAUCCGCAGAUGCCUGUCUAUAAAAAGCAAUAAUAAUCUAGCCUUAUAUGUAGUAUCCCUAAUCAAGCUAUUGCCUAUUUCCCCAAGACUGUUAAAUUUAUCAAAGAAUAUAACUUAAAUGAAGCAAACAGUAAAGACAUAUUCACAUUCAUAUCAAGCAGGCUUAAUAAAAAAAACUACUUUUUAAAAAGUCUACCAUCACAGUGUUAGAAAUACUGUUUAUAUGUCAUUAUAUAAGAGAAAAUUAUAUUUGACAUGAUUCUGUUGCUAAAAUGUGAUAUUCUGAACUCUCUGUGUAGAAUUGAAAAUAUAUUAAAGUGAAACUUGCCUGGAGAAAGAUAUCUUGUUUGUUGUCUAUUAUAUAUAACUAAUAUAUUUAAAAAUACCAAAGUGCUAAAAAGAAGGAAUUCAGGAAAUCCUUUAAGGACACAAGAGGAAACUUAUUUUGUUGUGCACAAUAACAAGUUGGGCUUUAAGAACAAAUGGGCAGAAUUGCCUAUGAAGACAUGUAACGUGCUUAUCUGUGUAAGUUGCAGAAAAUACCCAUAAACCAGUUCUGGCUAGUGAGUGUAUGGUGCUGCUUGACUGAAUUUUCAAGUGUCUCAAUGUAGACUGAAAAUAUUUCUCAGCUCUCCCGAAAACAAGAAGAGAAAAAAGAAAAUGGAGGGAAAGCUCAACAAGGCUUAGUCCAAACUACAAUUCAUUACAUGAGGCAUACUGACAUGGUCCUGAAGCUACAUAACAAUAAUACUCAUGAAAAUGUAUGAGAAUGAGGUGUUGUACCAUACUCUAAGUGCUUCACAGAUGCCUGUUCACUUGUCCACUCUGACCAUCUGUCUCAUAGCAAUUCAGCCAUCUGAUACAGUAUUUUCCACUUUUAUUUACAAACAUGCUGGUACUUAAAAGCGGUCCCCAUGUUCAUAAGCUGUCUGUUUCUAACAAAUCUCUCUUAAAUUCUGUACAGGGAGGUGAGAGAGUAUUUUCACAGACUGUUUUGUAAAAUAAACAGCCUGUGUGAUCCUUCAUUGAGCACGUCUGUUUCUCCUGUGGUUGUGGACAUGCUUCCGCAAUUAGUCCACAUUCUUUUCCUUCAACACUGUUUUGCAAGCAAAGCCAUCUUGUCCGAAUGGAUGGAAUUGAUUGCUAUCUGUUAAAGAAUCUGCUGAGUGAAGAGGAUCACCUUUGAAUCACCAGGAUUACAGGUUCGCUUCUCAUGCCUGACUUUCCAGUGGACACUUUGAUGACCAUGAAGUGUUGUCCUCCCUUCUCCCUGGGAACUGUUGGCCACUGGCCCAUGAAGACAAAGGGAGCAGAGUCAACAGGGUUUGGAAGGGCAGUGAGUACUACAGAAAUGACAGACUUCCAAGGAUUAGCUUCAGAGAAGCAGCUCAACUUUACUCAGGGUGAAUCAAUGACUGUAUGUGUUUUAGGAAGGGGGUAGGAAUUUCCAGGGUCGGUAAGAAUCAUUGGCCAGAGCUUAGAGUACCUAAGAAUGCCCCAUUUGCAUGGAGAGGAAGUCUAGGAGUUCUAGGUGCUUGCUGGACAGGUAGUUAGUAGGAAGGAAGCUGAACCUGUAAUCUCAGCAAAGCUACAGGACACUCUGCAGGUAGAGGAUAUAGAGGUUGGGCUCCCCAAAUCAGACAGAGAAGAGGAAGCCCUGCUAAGAAAAGGGAGUCCCCUACCUAGUGCCAAGCUCAAAAGAACUGUCUGGAUGUGGAAUACUGCUACCUUUAAAUAGCAAGUUCCAACAAUGAAGCUUCAACGUCUCCGAUGUCUAUAUGUGUUUCAGUAGCCUGGUCUACAGGAGUUUGGACAGUAUACUAGCAGAUAGGAUACAGGACUUCUUUGGUGAAGCUCACUGAGUGCUCAGGAGCCACUGCAACUGACAGCAAGUGUGAGAUACUCAUCACUCGCCACAGGCCUUAUCUGUGAGGGUGAGACCACCUUGAUGGGCUGAACGUGUGCAGUAGUAGAGUGGGGCAUCCUUUACUGUCUAAGGGCUGCACAGAUGUAUUAGACUUCCCUGCUGUGACAAGCAUCCAAGAAACAAUUAGAAAGAAGGAAAGUUGAAAUAUGGGUCACAAUUUCAGAUGUUUUAUUGCUAGGUUUUGUGUCUCUGUGUUUCUGUGCUCAAAGCCAGACACAGGAGGCACACUGGUAAUGUUUAGGUCUAAUACCAUGGCAGAAGGGCUCAGUGAAAGAGGGCUAUUCAUUUUAUGAUUGCCAGAAAGUAAAAAGCUGUACACAGCAAAGGUAAAGUUAGGAUAGAUCCAUUAAAGCCAUUCCCUGGCAACCCAGUUCCUCCAGCUAGGCCCUACCACAGUUCCAUCAAUGCCCAGUCUUUUCAAAUUUUGAAGCUCUAAGUAAAUGAACAAUGGAUUAGGGCAGAGCCCUCAGGAUCUUAUUUCUGAAAAUGCCCAGAGGUAAACUUUACAGAUCUUCUAGUAAUCUCUCAAUACAAAGAAGUUGACAAUGAAGAUUAACUAUUACAAUAGUUGAUUUCAUAGGACUGACUUACUCAGGGAGUUCUUUCCCCUUCCAAGGACUGAGUAAAUGAAAAAAAAUAAUGCAAACAAAUGAUAGCACAUUAUAUAACAAAGGUAUUAAAGUAUUUCAAGUGAAUCUUCUUUACAGACAGGACCUUGGUGAGAUACAAAGAUUGUUAAUAAACAAUUCUAGUGCUCCAAAGUGAUGCAAGAUACCAUAUUAAUUCUUAUAGAUGUAUACCAUAUGAGAAAAGUUUAUAGGUGGAGGUAGUAAGGGAUACUGAGCAAGUAGAAAAACUCUAUUUCACAUGAGCUUUCAUUUCUUUGUGAAGGAGAAUGUUCCCUUCUACUGAAAUAAAAUCUCUUUAGUGGCACCCCUCUGCAUCAUGACAAUCUGGAUUUUGUUGCCUGGCUUUCAAGCAUGUGUGUGUGUUUGCUUCUUUGCAGUUAAUUUUCUCCUCUCCUAGAGUACUUCAUCAGUGAUAUUCCUUCCAUCAGAGAUGGUCUCUGUCUGCACACUCAUCUGAAUGAUUCCUAACUGAUUAGUAGACUUUAUCAUUAGUGGUCCUUCUGUAACAAAGACUACUUUGAUGUAAUUACUCUAUCUGUCUAUAUUAGAUACUCACUUAAGACUGUGUGAUUUUCCUUGAUAAAAAUCAUUAAUGGAAUGAUUUAUUCAUUUAAAGUUUUCAUAUGUAUAUGACAUAUGUAUAUUAACACAUAUAUUUUCUAUUUGCUUUCCUGAGAGGACCUAAAAACCCCUGGCAUCAAGGUCUUGACUUUAAAUAGCAUUUGUCAAUGAGAAAACAAGGGUUCUUUGCAGAAAUGACUGACUCUAGGGCUGUCACAGGUAAGCAGAGAUGAGCUUGUACCAUCUUGUAAUAAGAGGAAGAAGAGGUCUCUAAAAAUAAAGAAGUGGUGAUUUCCACUUAACAAUGCUUUGUUGGAGAGUAUGAUUCAAAGGUAAAGGCCAGCCUGAGUGUGUAGAGCUAAACCUGAGCUGUUGAUAUAUCUCAAGCAAGCAAGCCAGCACUAUAAAAAGAAUAUACAUGAACAAGAUGCAAUAGCCUAUAUACAAAAGGCCCCAAUGGCAAAAGUUGAAACAAUUCAAAGAGCAAAUACGUAAUGACAGUCUAGGAUUAUAACCUAAAUAAUAGACAUUGUGAUGUCAUUGAAAUCGCAAUGAUUUCUCGUAGAAUCCAGUGUAAUUACUCAUUCCUUCAGGGGAUACCACUUAAUUACCAUCCUGUGUGGUCUGGAUUUAGUAUUCAGUUCUAAUUGAUACAAAAUAAAAGAGUAACUUUGUGCAGAGAAAUCUACCAGAUAGCACACUGACUGAAUGCUCACCAGUAUCAAUGCCUUCUAUGAACAGCAUUUGUUCCCCCAAAAUAUGAUGGAUCUUCUCUCUCCACUGUUAUAGAAACCAUCACACCAACGCAAUUAUGGAAGCACAUUAGAUACAGCCAAACUUAGGUGCUCUUCAUAAAAUACCCGGUCAAUAAUUUUCAAAAGUUUCAAGUUCAUAGCUAACAAACGAUGUCUAAGAGAUUGUCACAGAUUGGAGAACACUAAGGAGAGGUUCAAUAUGACAUUUCUGAACUGGAUGCUAGAACAUCAACACUUUUUGCAUGUGUAGGUUGGAUAGCUUAUUAGUGCCACUAAAUGUGUGGUUAUGAGAGAUGUCAACUUUGGGAGAAGCAAUCUGAGGGAACAGAUCUAUGGGAAUGGUUUAUACUUAUUUGAAACUCUUCUGAAAAGGUAAAAUCAGAGUAAAAUGAAAGGUCAGAGCUGUCUUCCCACUGAGCUACAACUCCACCAGCAGAGGUGAUCUGUGUGUUGGACACUACUACAUCUCCGUUCACAGGGCAGCAAUGCCUGCUUUACAUAGCAGGGGUCUGGAACAUGGCUGCAUGUUAGACCUUUGGCCCUGCCCUUUAUGAACAGUAUCCCUAAGAUAUGUUUUUAAGCCCCAGUUGUCUCACCUGUAAGAGAAAUAAAGUUGAGAAUUGGGGACUUAAUGUAUGUAAAGUAAGCGAAAGGCCAUUCUCACUGACAACUGUGAGUCGAUAAUUGUUCAGUGCAUGAGUGAGUAAUGGAAGGCGGGUUUGUUAUUGCCGCUGCUGCUGUUGUUGUAUUGCCGCUGCUGCUGUUGUUGUCCUCAUUGUUGCUGUUGUUCUGUUGUGAGGUUUUGCUGAGAUUGAACUUGGAAUUCAGUUUAAGUUAAGGAGAG